rnacentral:rRNA from 1 species
GACGAACGCUGGCGGCGUGCUUAACACAUGCAAGUCGAACGGAAAGGCCUGCUUUCCCUUGUGGAUUGCGGGUACUCGAGUGGCGAACGGGUGAGUAACACGUGAGUGAUCUGCCCCCAACUUGGGUAUAAGCCUGGGAAACUGGGUCUAAUUCCCGAUAGGACUGCACGGUGGUGCCUGUGGUGGAAAACGAUUUUCUAGUGGUUGGGGAUGAGCUCGCGGCCUAUCAGCUUGUUGGUGGGGUAAUGGCCUACCAAGGCGGCGACGGGUAGCCGGCCUGGGAGGGUGGACGGCCACAUUGGGACUGAGAUACGGCCCAGACUCCUACGGGAGGCAGCAGUGGGGAAUAUUGCACGAUGGGCGGAAGCCUGAUGCAGCGACGCCGCGUGGGGGAUGACGGCCUUCGGGUUGUAAACUCCUUUCGGCCGCGAGGAAGCCACCUGGUUGGAAGGGUGGUGACGGUAGUGGUAGAAGAAGCACCGGCUAACUACGUG